rnacentral:ncRNA from 2 species
AGGAAAGGAGUAGAAGAGACUCCCGGUAAAAGGGGGCGCCGAAGGAGCAAGCCCGGCUGGUGGUGGCAGCCGGGGGAAACUCUCAGGCAAAAGUACUACUCCCGGACG